AGGGCAGUCCUACUCAUAUGAGGA
rnacentral:siRNA from 1 species